rnacentral:rRNA from 1 species
AGUGAACGCUGGCGGUAGGCCUAACACAUGCAAGUCGAACGGCAGCACAGUAAGAGCUUGCUCUUACGGGUGGCGAGUGGCGGACGGGUGAGGAAUACAUCGGAAUCUACUUUUUCGUGGGGGAUAACGUAGGGAAACUUACGCUAAUACCGCAUACGACCUACGGGUGAAAGCAGGGGAUCUUCGGACCUUGCGCGAUUGAAUGAGCCGAUGUCGGAUUAGCUAGUUGGCGGGGUAAAGGCCCACCAAGGCGACGAUCCGUAGCUGGUCUGAGAGGAUGAUCAGCCACACUGGAACUGAGACGCGGUCCAGACUCCUACGGGAGGCAGCAGGGGGGAAUAUUGGACAAUGGGCGCAAGCCUGAUCCAGCCAUACCGCGUGGGUGAAGGAGGCCUUCGGGUUGUAAAGCCCUUUUGUUGGGAAAGAAAAGCAGCAGGUUAAUACCCCGCUGUUCUGACGGUACCCAAAGAAUAAGCACCGGCAAACUUCGU